ACACAAUACACUGUUACCAUGGGGUCUCGAUGUUCACCAGCUAGAUGUCCAGCUACCAGUUGAGGAGAGCCAUGGACCAUGAACUGGAAGCCUGUUCAUUGCCAACAUGAAGAGGAUCACUAAUGGUUGUCCUACAAGAUGGCAGAAGCGGCCCCUGGAAGACGUUCCCUCAAUAGGCACCACAUAUCAGGCACCCUCCUGAAUUUACAUUAGAGCAGUGCAGCUCCAGCAAA